GAACGCUGGCGGCAUGCCUAACACAUGCAAGUCGAACGAGAUCUUCGGAUCUAGUGGCGCACGGGUGAGUAACGCGUGGGAACCUACCUUUUAGUAUGGGAUAACGUUUGGAAACGAACGCUAAUACCAUAUACGCCCUCCGGGGGAAAGGUCAGCCGCUGAAAGAGGGGCCCGCGUCUGAUUAGCUUGUUGGUAGGGUAAUGGCCUACCAAGGCUACGAUCAGUAGCUGGUCUGAGAGGAUGAUCAGCCACACUGGGACUGAGACACGGCCCAGACUCCUACGGGAGGCAGCAGUGGGGAAUA
rnacentral:rRNA from 1 species